ACGGGGGAAAGCAGGGGAUCACUUGUGACCUUGCGUUAAUAGAUGAGCCUAAGUCGGAUUAGCUAGUUGGUGGGGUAAAGGCCUACCAAGGCGACGAUCUGUAGCGGGUCUGAGAGGAUGAUCCGCCACACUGGGACUGAGACACGGCCCAGACUCCUACGGGAGGCAGCAGUGGGGAAUAUUGGACAAUGGGGGGAACCCUGAUCCAGCCAUGCCGCGUGUGUGAAGAAGGCCUUAUGGUUGUAAAGCACUUUAAGCGAGGAGGAGGCUCUUUUGGUUAAUACCCAAGAUGAGUGGACGUUACUCGCAGAAUAAGCACCGGCUAACUCUGUGCCAGCAGCCGCGGUAAUACAGAGGGUGCGAGCGUUAAUCGGAUUUACUGGGCGUAAAGCGUGCGUAGGCGGCUUUUUAAGUCGGAUGUGAAAUCCCCGAGCUUAACUUGGGAAUUGCAUUCGAUACUGGGGAGCUAGAGUAUGGGAGAGGAUGGUAGAAUUCCAGGUGUAGCGGUGAAAUGCGUAGAGAUCUGGAGGAAUACCGAUGGCGAAGGCAGCCAUCUGGCCUAAUACUGACGCUGAGGUACGAAAGCAUGGGGAGCAAACAGGAUUAGAUACCCUGGUAGUCCAUGCCGUAAACGAUGUCUACUAGCCGUUGGGGUCUUUGAGACUUUAGUGGCGCAGCUAACGCGAUAAGUAGACCGC
rnacentral:rRNA from 1 species